rnacentral:sRNA from 1 species
ACAUGUUUGCUAUAAUGAUCUUGUAAGAAGUUACGACGGUGGCUUUAAAUUUAGGAGGUGGUUCUAUGUCCCACAUAGUCCAUUUUUCAGAAAGUAGAAGCCUUUUUGAGUGUGAGUGAUGCCUUGCAACUGAUGAUGGGAUUUGGCAUGUUUAUAGUUGCUUUAAUUUCUCUCAU